GAUGAACGCUGGCGGCGUGCCUAAUACAUGCAAGUCGAGCGAACGGACGAGAAGCUUGCUUCUCUGAUGUUAGCGGCGGACGGGUGAGUAACACGUGGAUAACCUACCUAUAAGACUGGGAUAACUUCGGGAAACCGUAGCUAAUGCCGGAUAAUAUUUUGAACCGCAUGGUUCAAAAGUGAAAGACGGUCUUGCUGCCACUUAUAGAUGGAUCCGCGCUGCAUUAGCUAGUUGGUAAGGUAACGGCUUACCAAGGCAACGAUGCAUAGCCGACCUGAGAGGGUGAUCGGCCACACUGGAACUGAGACACGGUCCAGACUCCUACGGGAGGCAGCAGUAGGGAAUCUUCCGCAAUGGGCGAAAGCCUGACGGAGCAACGCCGCGUGAGUGAUGAAGGUCUUCGGAUCGUAAAACUCUGUUAUUAGGGAAGAACAUAUGUGUAAGUAACUGUGCACAUCUUGACGGUACCUAAUCAGAAAGCCACGGCUAACUACGUG
rnacentral:rRNA from 1 species